GUGCUCACUUUGGCAGCACAUAUACUAAAACUGGAGCGAUACAGAGAAGAUUAGCAUGGCCCCUGUGCAAGGAAGACGCACAAAUUCGUGAAGUGUUCCAUAUUUUU
ensembl:snRNA U6 U6 spliceosomal RNA